GUGGGGAAUCUUAGACAAUGGGGGAAACCCUGAUCUAGCCAUGCCGCGUGAGCGAUGAAGGCCUUAGGGUUGUAAAGCUCUUUCAGCUGGGAAGAUAAUGACUGUACCCGGUAAAGAAACCCCGGCUAACUCCGUGCCAGCAGCCGCGGUAAUACGGAGGGGGUUAGCGUUGUUCGGAAUUACUGGGCGUAAAGCGCGCGUAGGCGGAUCGGGAAGUUGGGGGUGAAAUCCCGGUGCUCAACCCCGGAAUUGCCUUCAAAACUCCCGGUCUUGAGGUCGAGAGAGGUGAGUGGAAUUCCGAGGGUAGAGGUGAAAUUCGUAGAUAUUCGGAGGAACACCAGUGGCGAAGGCGGCUCACUGGCUCGAUACUGACGCUGAGGUGCGAAAGCGUGGGGAGCAAACAGGAUUAGAAACCCCAGUAGUCC
rnacentral:rRNA from 1 species